AGAAAAAUCGACAUCUGGAAGGUGAAUAACAUGAACACAACAUGAUGUAACUUUGAUAUGCUUUUUUAACAUGCCUGUUGUAAUGUGAAUGCAGUGAAGUUCAUUUACAGUUGGAUAUGUUGUUGUGGUUCUAUAACAAUACAAUCCAUCUAAACUCUCCACUCACCAUAUUUCAUGUCCAACACAAUAAACCAUUGAAUUUAUAAUAACAUAUAUAGAGAAUUUGAUUCAGUAAAGAAAUCUAAAUUAGAUUAUGUAUAGUGUUCAGUAAUACAGUGGUUCUUAAACAGMGGUACUAGGAACCAUGGAGGUACUUGGCCUAUCCACAGCAGAAACUUAAGACUCAUGAUUAGACCAUAGGCUUACUGGUAAACUGCACGAGGGGGUACUUCGGGGGUACUCCGGGCAGAGCGAAAUUCAGUUGGUGGUACAGUAACCGCAAAAGGUUGGAAACCACUGCAGUAAUACAUGAAGGUGUGGUUGACUGUGAGGGACUGUGAUGUCAGAUGUAUCCUAUUUCCUGUUCUUUAUAAGUAGAGAGACAUACAGACAGAGACAGACAGCAGUACACAGCCAGCUGUGGUGAUAUGAUGUCACUGCUGAGGAGUUUGCUGUUGAUCUACUUCUCAUUCAAUGAAUUGACCACAGCAGCAGAAYACAUUCUCUGGGUYAAGACAGGGGAGAAGMUUACCAUGAAGUGCUCCACCACUCUAAAAGACCAGGAAGGAAUGUACCUGUAUGUUGGGCUGGACAGAGACAGGGAGGUGCUGUAUUACUACCAGCYUGACUCCAAGCUGACCCCCAGGAAACGCUACUGGGACAGAGUGAAGACUGAGGGACCUGUGGACCAACUGACCAUCACCGUCAGUAACCUGACCAUAGAGGACACAGGCGUCUACUGGUGUGUUUACACAAAAUUCAAUGAAACUACGUCAGAAAAUGACAUCAACUGAGGAAGAGGCUCCACUCUGUUCGUGGUGAAUGGUAGAUGUACUUUUACACUCUAGGAGUUGAGAUAUGUUUUACUCUUCUCAUGAAUGAACAAUCAAUUUCACAUGUAGAAAAAAUGUGUGCAAUCUAGAAUCCAGACUUUCUCAGUCUUUGGUUCAUGGACUGGCAGCAGUCCCUCAGGUGUUUCAGACCAAUUUGGUCAACUCUCAAGUGUUAGUUUCAUUUUAAAUAACCAUAGCCUGUUGGUCCAGAUACCAAAAAGUUGACAAACAUUUGUCUUCAGUGGCUUUUCUUUUGUACAAUUCUGUCUCCGAUAGUUAUUUUGUGUGAAUACCGCAUACUGGUUAAAUUUUCCCAUCUAGUGAUGUCUUCCAUAGACGAUGCCCUCCAGCUGCCAUGCCCCACAGCUACUGCAUUAACACUGACCCCCUUUCACCCAGCCAACGAGAAGCCGUGCCCAUCUGGCGUGGAAAGCAUCAUCAUCAUCAUCACCAGCAUCUUGACCACCCUGAUGUGUGCCGUCAUCUUCCUCGUCUGGGUUGCUCCACUGGUGAGUGUGCUGAAGGUUUCCCAGGUGAUGGGUCAAUGACUAUCAGACUAUCAUAAUAAUAGGCCUUUUCAGAUGGCUCUUAUUUCUAACCUCAGUGUUCACCUCCUCAUUGGCAACCUAUGGUGUCACCAGAAGAUGCUUGUGAAAGGCUGAGGAAAUCUACCUCUGGCUUUCCAACAGGACGGUUGAUGCUCCUGACACCAGCGUCGCUGCUGAACCCCUAACAAUAACAACGAUAGACAUUGUUAAGUGAAGUCAACCAAGUCCUCUCUGGUAUGUCUGGAGUAGAUGGCAGCAGGAUCAAGAUGAUACACUACAUGCCCAAAGUAUGUGGACACCUGAUUGUUGAACAUCUCAUUCCAAUAAUAUUCUAAUAUGGAGUUGGUCCCCCUUUUGCUGCUAUAACAACCUCGACUCUUCUGGGAAGGCUUUCCACUAGAUGUUGGAAAAAUGCUGUGGGGACUUGCUUCCGCUUAGCCACAAGAGCAUUGGUGAGGUCAGGCACUUGUAUUUGGGGAGUUUCUU
ensembl:lncRNA